UUACGGCCUUAUCAAUUUGAAACACAGGUUCUAGUACGAUCAACAAAGUUAAACAGCGUCGCACGUAGUCAGUAUUUCGAUGUGUGACCGCUUGGGAAUACCAGGUGUUGUAA